rnacentral:tRNA from 1 species
UGGGGUAUAGCUCAGUGGUAGAGUGCUUGCCUAGCAUGCACAAGGCCCUGGGUUCCAUCCCCAGCACCUCCC